GAAAACGUACAUCGAUCUCAUACACAACCAGUGAGGUAGCUACCGUCUUCGUGGUUGGAAACGGGCACAACCCGUAUACCUUCAGAAACAAGGUAAUUUUCAACCUUGAUCUUGCUUUAUUCAAGAGAAACUAUUAAAAAAAAACAAGUAUGCUAUUGUUUUAAGGUUGUAAACGUCUACGCUUGAUCUAAAUCUCAAAUUGGUGGCACAGGAGGAGACCGCGGUGCAGGUUAACGUUAGGGAGCUAGUUGGCACACAAUCAGUUUUACAUGAGUCAACAUUUAAUAGCCAUGUGAGUUUCGAUUUAAAUUGUGAUCCAAACAUUUGCAUAGUUAGAAGCUAGUUAUUUCGGAUUUUUUAAAAUUUUUUAAUCACACCCAUUUGUUAGCUAGCUAUGCUAUCUGCCUGGGUUGUUUUGCUUGCUAGUUAGCUAAUGUUAGCUAACUAACUCACGAAGUUGUUCGGCGCGCAGUUUCAGACUUUCAAAAAUAUGCGCAUGCUGACAAUUUAGCACACUAGCAAUAUAACUGUGCAUACAUUUAAGUAGAUAUUGGUCCUGGGCACGGUGUUUCCCAUAACCAUCGUUAUUAACGUUGCACUUAAACGCUCGGAAUAGAACAGCUGUCAUUAUUUUUUUUGCCUUCCUGCGCCACUUUAUGUACAGAUCUCCGCUAAACAGCCCAAUAUUGGAUUAAAGGAGCAGGGCCGGUUCCAGGGAUAAACUGUCGCUUAAAGGCGUCCUCAUGCUUCCCAGUCAGAACAGUCGGGUUUAACGGCGGUUGGCAUCCAAUGUUAAUGGUGCAUUACCGCCACCAGCUGGAAAGGGUAUUGAAUAAACAACUAAAAAAACAUUGCGGGAAAGGGGGACGACAUCAUACAAAAACCCAUCCCACGUAUUCAAUCACAGUCCACUCCAAAAUACAUCCCUAUGGCAGUACAUUCACCAACAGGAUCUUUUGCACAGCCUCAGCUGUGAAAUCAUGGAGACCCCAAAAACCUCAAGCAGCAUUCAAUAAUUCCAAUUUUCUUAUUCUCCACUUGUGCUGUACAGUUUAUGACCAUUGCGAUAAAUAAUAAACUCCACAUUUUUCCAUGUAGUAUUUCACUAUCCCUCCAUUGAUGAGAACCCUUCAUUGGUCGUGGUGGCUCUACUAUCAUUGUUUCUUCCCCGUCACUUGUUGCUUCCAAUCUUUUCACUGCCUCCAGAUAAGAAACUCGCUGGACACUCCUUACCCUUGCCACCUCGUUCUCCUUCACCCUAACAGGGCACUCCAGGAAUUCAGGUGCAUGUUCACCUUCACAGUUGCAGCGUUUCACUUCAUCUGGCAUACAGUACUCUUCCCUUCUGCACACACUCGACACAUGACCAAAUCUUCCACAAUUAUGUUGCUGAAGGUGCUUGUGCACAAAAGCUCUUGCAGGGUAUCUCAUGAAUCCUAACAUAUGAGAAGGGAGAGACUCUUCAUCAAAGAACAUUAGCAUGGAAGAGGUUAAUGUAUUUUCUCCAUCCACCAUACAGGUCAGUUGACGUGCACCAACCACUCAAUCAAUGUCUUUAGUAAUAUCCUCUGCCUUGUUUUCUUGUGCCACCCCAAAUAGCCCCCUUGAUAGGCGCCCAGCUACGAAAAAGCUAUGAAAAAUCCAUACAGGAAGCAUUCCACGCCGAUAUCUUUGAGUCUUAACACUUCUGCUCUGCGGACACACAUCAAAAAUAAGACGACCACUUGUGACUCUCACCGACUACACUUCAACACAUUCCAGAUUUCCCAAGUAGCAUUGAUCCAAAACCACUACUCAAACUAAAAACUAGCCUGAUGGUUUCCAAUUUUGCUUCUCGUGUUCAUUUUUGUUCUCAAUUCUUUUUCACUUUUGGUACUAUUAGCUUCACCCGACACACUAGCCGUUUCAAACAAAAUCAGUUUGUCUUCUCCACGAUCAACGUCUACCAGCCAAAACAGUUCGGAGGAGUUUGUUCAUAUAUUGUGGCAUUGUUUUGGACUUCAGUAAGGGAUUUUGCACUGUUUGGGCACUUUUCUUGGGGUAAGCUGAAGUCUACACCCCUUCAUCAGUGAUUGGUCAACAGUAGGGAUUCUUAAAAAGUCAGUCAUUCAAUGAGAGUUGACUCAUGACUUUUUUGAGAUACUACAUCUUAGAUGUCAAAUUGCAUGACAGAUCCUCUGCAAAAACUCAUGUCAUUAAUUUUGAAGUUAACUUAGAUUAAUUGUGACUUGAGUUAGUGUAUACUGGCUACAGGAUCUCAAUUAAUAAACUGUACUAUUGCUGCUUUUUCCCCUUGUUUUUCAAGCGAAGGUCUUAUGGGAGUAUGCGAGCACACUCGUUCAGUUCGGCUGAAACAUGCUGACGCCUCAAUCUCCACACAAUACCCCAUAAUGACAAAGCAAAACAGGUUAUUUUAUAUGUGCAAAUUUCUUAACUUCAUACGGCUCAUUGGGACGCUAGCGUCUCACCUCGACAACAUCCUGUGAAAUUGCAGAGCGUGAAAUUCAAAUGACAGAAAUCGUAAUAUUAAACAUUCAUAAAAAUACAAGUGUCAUACAUCAUUUAAAAGCUUAACAUCUUGUUAAUCCAGCCGCGUUGUCAGAUUUCAAAAAGGCUUUACAGCGAAAGCACACCAUGCGAUUAUCUGAGGACAGCGCCCCGCACAGAAGCAUUACAUACAUUUUCCAACCAAGCAGGGGCGCCACAAGUCAGAAAUAGCGAUAAAAUAAAUCACUUACCUUUGAAGAUCUUCAUCUGGUUGCAAUCACAAGGGUCCCAGCUACAUAACAAAUGGUCCUUUUGUUCGAUAAAGUCCUAGUUUAUAUCCCCAAAAGGUCUGUUUCAUUGGCGCGCUAGACUCAGUAAUCCACCGGUUUCCCUCAUUCAAAAUGCAAACAAAUGAAUCCCGUAAGUUACCAAUAAACUUCUUCCAAACAUAUCAAACAACAUUCCUAAUCAAUCCUCAGGUAUCCUAAUAUGUAAAUAAGCGAUAAAAUUUAAGACAAAUAACGAAGUAUUCGCACUCACCGGAAUGCGCCACAAACACUACAGCCAAAAUGGGAGCCACUUACUAAAACUACAAAUUCUAGCAAAUUUUUCAAAAAACAUGCGUGAAACUCUUUCUAAAGACUUGACAUCUAGUGGAAGCCCAAGGAACUGCAAUCUGGGAGGUCUUCCUUUUUAUAUUCCCAUUGACAGCCAUAGUAAUCAAGGGUGAGCUGAAUUUUUUUUUUUUUUUUCUGGAUGGAUUGUCCUCGGGGUUUUGCCUGCCAUAUCAGUUCUGUUAUACUCAGACAUUAUUUGAACAGUUUGAAACUUUUAGUGUUUUCUAUGCAAUACUACCAAUUAUAUGCAUAUCCUAGCUUCUGGGCCUGAGUAACAGGCAGUUUACUUUGGGCACCUCAUUCAUCCAAACUUCCGAAUACUGCCCCCAAGCCUGAAGAAGUUAAAUAAAACAACUUUUACAUAAGUAUUCAGACCCUUUACUCAGCACUUUGAAGCACCUUUGGCAGCAAUUACAGCCUUGAGCCUUCUUGGGUAUGUAUUUGAGUUUCUCCCAUUCUUCUCUGCAGAGCCUCUCAAGCUCUGUCAGGUUGGAUGGGGAAUGUCGCUGCAUAGCUAUUUUCAGGUCUCUCCAGAGAUGUUCAAGUCUGGGCUCUGGCUAGGCCACUCGAGGAUAUUCAGAUACUUGUCCCGAAGCCAAGACAAUGCAGGAGUAGCUAUGUGCUUAGGGUCAUUGUCCUAUUGGAAGGUGAACCUUUGCUACAGUCUGAGGUCCUGAGCGCUCUGGAGCAGGUUUUCAUCAAGGAUCUCUCUACUUUGCUCCGUUCAUCUUUUACCUGAUCCUGACUAGUCGCCCAGUCCCUGCCACUGAAAAACAUUCCCACAGCAUGAUGCUGUCACGAAAGCUUCAACGUAGGGAUGGUGCCAGGUUUCCUCCAGAUGUGACGGUUGGCAUUCAGGCCAAAUAAUUCAAUCUUGGUUUCAUCAGACCAGAGAACCUUAUUCUUCAUGGUCUGAGAGUCCUUUAGGUGCCUUUUGGCACGCUCCAAGCGGGCUGUCAUGUGCAUUUCACUGAGGAGUGGCUUCCGUCUGGCCACUCUACCAUAAAGGCCUGAUUGGUGGGGUGCUGCAGAUGUUGUCCUGGAAGGUUCUAUCUCCACAGAGGAACUCUGGAGCUCUCAGUGACCAGCGGGUUCUUGGGCCUUGGUCAGGUAGGUGACCUUCCCCGACUGAUCAGUUUGGCCGGGCGGCCAGCUCAAGGAAGAGUCUUGGCGGUUCUAAAUUUCUUCCAUUUAAGAAAGGAGGCCACUGUUUUCUUGAACUUUGGUACCCUUCCCCAGAUCUGUGCCUCGGCACAAUCCUGUCUCGGAGCUCUACGGACAAUUCCUUCGACCUCAUGGCUUGGUUUUUGCUCUGAUGUGCACUGUCAACUGUGGGACCUUGUAUAGAUGUGUGUGUGCCUUUUGCAAAUCAUGCCCAAUCAACUUUACCACAGGUGCCUCAAGUUGUAGAAAAGUCAAGGAUGAUCAAUGGAAACAGGAUGCACCUGAGCUCAAUUGAGUGUCAUAGCAAAGGGUGUAAAUACUUAAGGUAUUUCCGUUUUUAUUUUUCUAAAUUAGCAAACAUUCCUAAAACUUUUUUUGCUGUGCCAUUAUGGGUAUUGUGUAGAUGAAACUCUGUGGAUUCAACAUGGCGAAUGACAACUUCGAGCAUCGAUUUGACUGAGGAAGGUACUUCUGUACCUCCCCAUUACGAUUCUAGCCAUGCAUUAUAUAAAUGCCAAUUCAUGGAGGGAGAUUGCAGAGACGCUUGGGUCCGACCCAACCACUAGUCUGAAAAAGUGGGGUAGGAUUCGUGACGACAAGUUCGUCAAGACAAAGAAAAGAAAGGGCCACAGUGGAGAUUCCGGAGGAAAGGCUUCUCCAGAAAUGUUGCUGCUGGCUUGUUUGGCAUGUGGAGCAUGGGAAGACUGAAAGCAACAUGCCGUCUUCACCAAAGAAUGAGGUAUGUUGUAUUUUAUAUUGUAGUCGACGAAAAGAGUAGCUAACAAUAGCUAGCUACUUGGCUGGCUAGCUUAGUUGCAUACUGUACGUGUGCAGAGAAAGCAAGCCAACCAAACUAAAGAUAUUUACUACUUUUGAUCAAACAUUUUGUCAUAGAAAGAAAAUCAUAAGCUUCCCACAUUGGUAACACAAGUUAAAGUUAGCAAGGUCCAGAAAGUCAAAAUGUUUCAAAUGUUUGAGCAGAGUUGAGUAGCUAGGCCAGGCCUACUCAGCUCAAACUUUUGCAACAUAUGAUCUAUUGUAGUCUCUGUAAAUGAUAUGAGGUUAAUUGUUCAUUUUGGAUAUGUACUGAAUAGCCCUCAACUUUUUUUUUCUUUGACAAGGCUCAAACAUCAGUGAAUGGAGACAGCACCUGGUUUUGUUCUCUGCGCCCAAGCACUACCUCAGUACUGGGGACAGACUGGUCAUCGGCCCCUGCACUAAGCUGCAGUGCAGAAUUAGAAACCAUCUCCAUGCAGGACCUGGCAAGCUCUAUCCUGGGCUCACCUCCAAUACCUGCUCCACUGGCUUGCUCUUCACCGACGCCACAGAGCAGUAGCAGGGGUGAGAAGGGAGAAAAGAGCUGCAGACUAAGCCCUUGACACUUAUGAGACCAGCCACCUGGACAGCUGAUGGAACAGGAGUAUUUCCGUCUGUAAUAAAUCCCUUUUUGAGGGGAAAAACUCAUUCUCAUUGGCUGGGCCUGGCUCCCAAGUGGGUGGGCCUAUGCCCACCCAUGGCAACACCCCUGCCCAGACAUGUUAAAUCUAUAGAUUAAGGCCUAAGGAGUUUUUUAAUUGACAGAUUUUUGUAUGAACAGUAAACCCAGUAAAAUUGUUAAUUGUUGCGUUAAUUUUUGUUCAGUAUAGAAAGAAAAUACACAUUUCCAGGAACCAUAAACUAAGUUAAAUGGAUUCCAACAUUCUAUAAUCAACAUAGCUGGAUAAGGGCGCAUGAGGUUCUCAUGUAGGGGGAAAGCUGCGUCCCCCAGGAAAACAAGGACUUGGCGUUGUGGUACCUGACAAGACAGCUGGUGGUAAAUUGAGGGUCUUCUGUGGCAGUUUGGACCCAAAAGAACUCUUGAAACACUCCACCAUAGCUCUCUAGGCCGUAUGCCCCUACAUCCACCAUUGUGAACCUGUAGCAGGCAUCUUCUGUCUCCGUAUCUUGCCUAUUCAUAUGUUGCUAGGUACAUAAAUCUAGUAGAUCCCGGACAAGUCACACAACUUCCAUUUUGUCACCAGUCAAGCGUCUGUGUACAUUUUUUUUAUUCUCCCGCAAGUCUUUCUUGUUUGUCCAUAGAUGGCUAUUACCAGCUCUUCGCCCUCUACUGUCCUGGAGUAAUAUUGACAAUUGUUUUUGUUUUUCAAGCAAAUGUCUUUUUAGGUAGCAUGCGAGUGCACUCGUUCAGUUUGCCUAGCCGCCAGUCGAACUGAAGCAUGCUAACGCAUUUAGGGCCCCCGGCCGCUAUGAGAUCCUGCUAGGAACUCUGUCUGGGUCUCAACAUUUGGUUGUGCAUCACCAGUUUCAUGUCAGUCACUGACAGUCACUCAAUUAUCCAUGUCAGCUAACAAUUUUUGGAUUGGCAGUUAGUCAAUCCAGCUAUCUAAAGUUGUAGUAAUCAUGGCCAAAUACCGACCGGGCACAUGCCCAGGGGUCCGGACCUCCAGGCCCCCCCCCCCCAUCUUGAUGUUAGUCAUUCUCACUAUCAUAUUAUUAUGUCAUGGCAAAAUGUAUAACAUUUCAGGAAAUUAGCUUUAAUACUGCACAAAAAUAAACUCAAACAAAUGUUUUGACACGGUGGUGGGGCCCCCCCAACCAAAUCUUUCUUAGGGCCAGCGAUAGGCUAGAGCCGGCUCUGUAAAGGAGCCUAAUGUUACCUUAGUCCAAGGGCCUUACAUGUUCUGUUUUAAAGGAUGGCUCUGGAAGCCACAAACCCCAAAUACUCCAUCUAAACGUGAAUCUAUUCACAAUUGUGAUACGGUUCUAGAAACAUAAUUACCUCUACUUUCAUAUCACAUAAGUAAUUUCACAAUUCAAAAUACAAACUUACGGUACACUGUUUUAACUGUUGCAGCCGACACUUUUUCAGUGACAUGUUUUGUGGCGUCUGUAUCGUUUAUACACAGGUGUUUGGAGAUGCAGAUAGCUAAUUAGCACAGGUAGUCUACUCAGUCUUCCGUCUGUUUUCCGUAAACAAGCGCUGUAACAUGGAAAUAUAGCUGUGUGGGAACCCUAAUCCUAUAAAGUGUCCUGUGUGAAGGUACUUAAGGUGUUCACUGACAGAAAGCAGCCAUGUCGUCAACAUCCCAGAAACACAAAGAGUUUGUGGCAGAACCCAUGGGGGAGAAGCCAGUCAAUGCACUUGCUGGCAUUGGAGAGGUGCUUGGCAAGAGACUGGAGGAGAAGGGCUUCGACAAGGCCUAUGUGGUCCUGGGUCAGUUCCUGGUGCUGAAGAAGGAUGAGGAGCUAUUCCGGGACUGGCUGAAAGACUCAUGCGGGGCCAAUGUCAAACAGCAGGGUGAUUGCUAUGGCUGUCUGCGUGAAUGGUGUGAUUCUUUCCUGUAGAGAAGGUUUUGUUUUUUCCCGUUUUAUAUAACGUUAUCCCAAACAUCUAUUUACUUGUGGUCUCACAUUAAAUUUCACCUCAUAUGGGAACACUGCACAUGAGGCAGUUAAGCAAAGUCAUACAUUGUAACACCUGGUUAUUUUAUACUAGAGUCACAAUUCAGAGACCUAUGGAUGCUUAAAAAUUAGUAAGACGUACCUUGCUGCAGUCAUCCAUGGGGUUGUUUCACCCAACUGUGUAGAUCCGUAAUCCUGACCUUUCCUAUGAUUUAAUAUCUUUGGCCGUACAGAAGCCUUGGAUGAGUUAAUUUGUUUUCCUGCACUUUAUAUUUCAAUUUUGUUCUGUCAAAUAACCACUUUUUAUAAUUACUAUCCCUUCAUAAAGUUAUAACUAAUGCUUGUACUUAUCUCCAACUUUCUGACAGUUUGCCCCUGCAUUUAUUUAAAUGAACUUGUCGCUAAAUUAAUUAGUAGCAUUUUAAACCAUUUGACACCACAUGGCUUUUAUAUCUAUAAGAUGUUGCACUGUUAAUUUUACAUCUGAGUUUACAGGAAGCAGUUUUAAGAUUUACAUUUGUAAUUGCUCCAUGUUAUCUUAUGUGUUUGUUUUAAGAGAUGUUGAAGGAAUGCCUUAACGUUGUAAUGCAAAAGCAACAUUUAUCUGCAAUGUACCUUGAGUUGUGGAGCAGUGCAUGCGGAUUAAGAAGCUAGCUACUACAAAUCACCUCAUUUUCAAUCUUCACACAAAUGAAAGCCUGACGUAAAACCACAGUAAGUAGCACUGUUUCAGGAAUUAAUUUAUGAGCAUACUUGUGUUGCUCUCUGUUUAAUCGUUGAAGGAUGGUUUUACUGAAACACUGGUUCAUGUUUUUGCAUAUUGACUGUGAAAGCAUGUUUUUAUAUUUUUCUUUUGAAAGAAACAACUGCAAGAUCUGGACAAUUCUGACUUUGUUUUGUUUUUUGAAAAAAAUAAUAAUAAUAAAUUACAUGCAAAAAUAUUUUGGUGACAGGAGUAUUUAAUUUUGUCUUUGAUUCCCAAGUCCCCUUUUAUUCAAAGCUCUUAAUUUGCUUUGGUAAGAAAUAUUGACAGUAAAGGUUUAAGGAACACUGAUCUAAAAAUAGUAAUAACAUUUCUGAACUUGAUCAGAUAAGCAACCAAAAAAACUGGUCUCAAAGAAAACCAUACAAAUCGCUGUUAUGUAUUUAUUAAAUGUACUGCUUAUUUUUGUUAAUGUCAUAUAGCCUUAGACAUCCACUUGACAAAUUAAACCACUUAUUUAUCAAAACAACAUUGAUCAUUGUUAUUGGAAACCCGUCAUUAUAGACCGCUGAUCUUGUUAAGGCGGCUGACCACCUCUUGUACAUACAGCGCCAGUGGAAUUAUUUGGGUUAGUGUGUAUUGACUUGUCCUCUUACUGUCCUACUGGUCCACAGUGGCGCCUACACCUCACGCACAUUUCUGCAACAGCUUAAAGUGACAUACAGGACUUUCAACACAUCACACACAAUUAUUAUUUUUUUAACAAACUCAGAUUAGGCAAUGACUAGUGUGUAUUAAAAGUUCCAAAUAAUUACAAUUCAUGUGUAGUUGUCACCCCUCCAUCUAUUUGAAAAAUGAGAUAGGACUAUGAGCUGUUUUACAUAUGUAUAUCCACUUUUAUGUUGUGCUACAGUUCAUGAUUCUAUAAGGUUCAAUGUGUUUUAAGUAUGUAUACGCAUAACUCCAAAUAUAUUUUAAUGGUUGUUUAUGUAGAUCUACUUUAAAUGUAAAUUUUGGUUGAAUUAGUCUUGAUUUUACUUAGGAGAAUAUGUACAUAUGCAGCCUUUCAUAAGAUAAAGCAGGCUACAUGAAUAAGUUAUAUUUAGCUUUGUGUAUGUGGUGAAUGCAUGUACAUUGAGUAUACAAAACAUUAAGAACACCUGCUCUUUCCAUGACAGACUGACCAGGUGAAAGCUAUGAUCCAUUGUUGAUGUCACUUGUUAAAUCCACUUCAAUCAGUGUGUAGAUGAAGGGGAUGAGACCGGUUAAAGAGAGAAUUGAGACAUAGAUUGUGUAUGUAUGCCAUUUAGAAGGUGAAAGGGCAAGACAAAAAGUUCCUUUGAACUGGAUAUGGUAGUAGGUGCCAUGCACACCAGUUUGUGUCAAGAACUGCAACGCUGUUGGGUUUUUCACGCUCAACAGUUUCCCGUGUGUAUCAAGGGUGGUCCACCAUCUGAAGGACAUCUAACCAACUUGACACAACUCUGGAAAGCAUUGUAGUCAACAUGGGCCAGCAUUUGUGGAGAAUGCUUUCGACACCUUGUAGAGUCCAUGCCCUGACGAAUUAAGGCUGUUCUGAGUGCAGGGGGCGGGUGCGUGCAACUCAAUAUUAGGAAGAUGUUCCUAAUGUUUGGUAUACUCAGUGUACGUUAUGUUCUGUCUGGACAGUGUUUUUCCCAACCAUCCUGUGGUUUGUCUCAAAGGAGUGCACAGAAGAACUUCUUCUCCCUGAAUGGGUUCUCUGAGGUGGGCACAGGGGUGAUGAGGGGGUCCUCAAUGGCGUGGGCAUCACAGUAUGCCAUCAGGUCUGCAGCCGCUUUUGAUACCU
rnacentral:lncRNA from 1 species